rnacentral:lncRNA from 1 species
GAUAGUAAGAGAGAUGAAGAAACAGAGACAGAGCUAGAGAGAGAGAGAGAUGGAAAAGGGGAGAGGGGAGGGAGGAAGAGAGAAAGAAAGAGGGAGAAAGAGGAGAGAGAGAGAGACAGAGGGAGAGAGCCAGAGACAGACAGAGAAGGAGAGAGAGAGAGAGAGACAUGAGAGACAGAGAGAAAGAGAGACAGAGGGAGAGAGAGACAGACAGAAAGAGAUAGGAGAGAGAGAGAGAGAGAGAGAGAAGCAGUAUCAGUGACUCUACAUAAACUUCUCAGGCAGCAAAUGAGGUGAAAAAUGCUGGCUCUGAAGUCAAAUCUGAUUUUAAUUCCAUUUUUCUGAUGAAGAAACUGAGGCUUGUGCCCAAAAACAAGCAAGGAGAGAAAGAGAGAGGGGGAGAGAGAGGACAGAGAGAGAGAGAUAAAGACAGAGAGAUGAAGAUACAGACACAGACAGAGGCAGAUUAGAGAGAUGGAGAGAGAGACAGAUGAGGACAGAGACAGAAGAAAAGAGAGACAUAGAGAAAGGUGAGGAAAGAGAAAAAGAGCCGGACUAGAUACCUCAGACAAUCAGUAUCCUCCAGCAAGUGGAAUUCUAGGUCAAGCAUUUUCAUGCCUAUUUUAUGGAUGAGAAAACCAAAGCUGGAAUUGACAGAAACCUCGGGAGCCUGGACAGCGGGAUACAGGGAAAGAAAAUAGCCUUCAACGCCAGAAAGGACAUUCAUUGCACUCCGAGGGCUCCUGGGAAGGAAUUAGCAGCACCCUGGCUGCUCUUGGGAGGGAGCCCGGGGUGCGCCGCUCAGACUCGGUUUCCCCCUCUGUUCCUUUGACUUACCUGCUGGUCCCGCUCAGAAGGGAGAAGGAAGUGAGAGGAACACCGAGGAAUCGGAGGUGACUAGAAAACGGCCCUUUAAAACGGGAGGAAAGGGAAACUGAGGCCCAGGGGGUGAGGGGCUCCCCCUCCCUUACCAUGACUGCAGUCUGCGCAAGCUCGAGUUCAGGUGUGCGGGCUGCUGGCUCCCAGAAGGCUCUCACCGACUGCCUGUCCCGGGCUCGGAUAUCCCCCUUUAUAUACCGGCUCGGCGCUGGGCGAGGGGCGGAGUCAGAGACUCGGUCCGAAAACCGAAACUCCGCUUCCCCCGCCGAAAUGGGAGUUUCACUUUCCCUUCUGCGCGGUUCCCCGGCCUGAGGCGGAAACAAAACUCGGACGAGGGAGGAGCCCCGGGGCAGACUCCCCCCGUGGAAGGGGCUUCCCAUGGGGCUGAGGCUAGCAAGGCGUGAUCCCCACCCCCACCCCGCCCAAGAAGACCCCAGAUGGCUCGAGGGGCGCCCACCUCUAAAUGCAGAAACUCCUUGUGGCACAGAGAGGGCAUUUGAAGAAAGAGGAACUGGAUUCAAAUGCAGCCUUACUGACCGUAUGACCUUCGGCAAGAGGUCGCUGCUGUCAGCCUCGACUUCCCCAUUUGUCAGAGGAAGAAGUUAACCCCGCGGGUCUCUAAUGCUCUAAAUUUAUGGUGAAUGGAUAAAGGGAAAAACAUGAAUGAAGCACUGACUGUGUACCAAUCCCCAUGUCAUCUUAACUUGGAAGUCUGUGGCUUGGGAUAGUUUCCUGGGACUUACUGGGUUUACUGGGAUAGUUUACGGAGAAAGCACCUCCGAACCUGUGACUCAACCUUGCCACUUGUCACUAUGGCUACGACUAUCUCUACAACUUGUAAAUAAUAAUAAUCAUAAUAGCUGACAUUUGUCUAAUGCUUACACUGUGCUCAGGGCUUUGCAAGUAUGAUGUCUUCAAUCAGCAGGAUGAUGUCAGAGAGGCUUGGGUAUGAUUUCAUCAAUCAGCAGGAUGAUUUCAGAGAAACUUAGAAAGACUUACAGGAACUGAUGCUGAGUGAGGUGAGCAGAGCCAGGUGAUCAGUGUACAAAGCGACAAGAUCAUUCAAUGAUCAAUUCUGAUGGAACAGGCUCUUUCUAACAGUGAGAUGAUAGAGACCAGUUCCAGGGAUCUUGUGAUGGAGAGAGCCAUCUGCCCCCAGAGAGGACUGUGAGGACUGAGGGUGGAUCACGGCCUAAUAGUUAUACUUUUUUGUUGUUAUUUGUUUGCAUUUUGUUUUCUUUCUCAUUUUUUUCCUUUUUGAUCUGAUGUUUCUUGUGCAGCAAAAGAAUUGUGGAGGGAGAAAAAAAAUUGGAGCACAAGGUUUAGCAAGGCUGAAUGUUAAACACUAU